rnacentral:lncRNA from 1 species
CCUCUGAAGAUACACUAAUGCACAUUUACUCUCUCUCACUUUGGCUCUCAGUGCCUCUGUCCAGACUGCUGCUUCAGACCUCACCGCCCCUUUCCAUUCAAACCAACUUUAAGCCACACUUCUGAGCGUGUGAGCCAGCAUUUCAUCCACAGCUUGCUGUACUUUCAGGAGCCUCUUAAUUUAUUAAAGUUUUAGUUGGAGAAAAGUGACCAACAGUGACCAUGAUGAGGAUCAUACUGCUGCUGCUGGUCACCCUGGCGGGGCCUUUCUGUACCUUUACCCAAGCAAGUACUCUGGUGGUGCCAACAGCUGUUGAUGCAACUACAGAACCAAAUCUUGUAGCAAAUCUGUCUGAUUUCACUGCCAAAACAGAGGAACCAGCUCCUCAAGAUGCAGUCUCAACGCCAGCGCCUGCUCCUGAGGCUACAGAAGCAGUUGCCUCAACACAAGAAGUGCCAGUGGUUUCCACAGCAGCACCAGUGAUACAAUCAGAAGCCUCAUUAGAAACAACAGCCCCAACAGAUACAGCACAAUCAACAGAAGCUGGACCUAAAGAGAUGGCCAGCCCUGAAGCCUCUACUGUCACUGAAGUGGCAAGAGCAGAAACUGGGAAAGCUGAAGAAACCGUAUCAGAGACUCCAAAUGUAGAUGUGGAGGGUGAAGGUAUGGGCACAGGACAGUUGGUGGGGAUCGUAAUCGGCGCUUUGAUCGCAAUGAUUGUUGUCAUUGCUGUAAUCAUCUUGGUGGUCAGAAGAAAGGGCCAAUACUCCCCCUGAAAAGAAAGGCACGACAGGAAGAGAAGAAGAAGAAAUUCGAGAAGUUCUGAUGUUAAAAACAAUGCAAGCUGCACUCUCACCAUCCAUCCAGGACUUACACGGGGAGCAGGAGAGUGUCCCAUCCCCUUUCCCAUUGAAAAGAUGCCACUCCCCAUUUUUUUGUCCCCCUAAAAUCCUAAUUUCUCUCUCAACAGUGGGAAGCCACAGGAAGUUACUGUCUUUUUUAAUGCAUAUUAAUGUAACAGGAGAUGAAUGAAUGUGGAGUUUGUGAAGGGACUAAUAAACAAAAACAAAGAAACAGCUGCCCAUGCAAGCAAAAGCUUGUAUUUUUACUAUUAAUAACAUACAGGAAAAAAAAACUAAUCCACAAUCAUUAACUUUCUCAAUUUCUCUUUUUCCCCUUCUACAGAUGUGUCCAACAGGAAUAUGACGCAUUAUGUAUAGUCUAUGAACUGUCAUAAGCAGAUGCUGAGUACACAUUCUGUUCUCAAGAUGUGCAAGCGGCAUUAACUAGUAAUAUUUUUUUAAUUAUUAGUUAAGGGGAGCAGCACACAAUAAGUGCUUGAGAUUUACUAUUUUGAAGUGCAUUAAUAUGGAGUGACUAGAUCAGGGCUGUCCAAACUCGGUCCUGGAGGGCCGGUGUCCUGCAGAGUUUAGCUCCAACUUGCCUCAACACACCUGACUGGAAAUUUCUAUGCCUAGUAAGAGCUUGAUUAGCUGGUUCAGGUGUGUUUAAUUAGGGUUGGAGCUAAACUCUGCAGGAUACCGGCCCUCCAGGACCGAGUUUGGACAGCCCUGGACUAGACCGUGCUGUUCUUAAAUGUCACCCAUUCCAAAAGUGACAUCACUUCCUCUGGAACACAAUCAGCUUUGCUCCAGCGCACAGCUGCUAUUGGCAUGUAUCUCUAAAAUCCCGAUGUUCCUCAGCCUGUACUAUAUAAUUUUAACAGCAUACAGACAUUUUGCAUGGUAUAGUUGUUUGCGUUUCUUUUUGUCAGUGUUGGGGUUUGUGUUUCUUACUGACGGUCGAGAGCGUUGCUUUCCUGGACUUUGCUUUAAGAGAUCAGUAUUAGGUGCACUGAAUGAUGAAGAAUAAAUGUUUAAUAUUUAGACGACACUGCAACUGUUUGCAACGAUAUUUUGUGUUUUUUCUUGCCAGAUUCCUCUUUAUAUCCCAUUACUCCAUGAUCGCAUUUUCCCAUUUGAUGUCAGAAUCCAGUUAAAGCCGAGUGUUUGUCUUUUGUAUUUUGGAGGUGGUGUUUUGUUUUUCUUAUUGUUCAAUCAGUUUAAAUAAAAAAAGUUCUUAAGUAUGUUGUACUUCCAUAUCGUGUUGUUGUGGAUCCCAGAUAACAUUGUCUGUUUAUCUGUUUAUCCAGCUUUUCACACCCAUUUACGCUCAUGCACGGUCUCUUUCUCACACAAACACACACCCACACAUCUGUCUCUCUAAUCCCUUAGGUUAUAAAGACUGUAAAAGACAAGGGAGAGAGAGGAAGAGCCAAUGAAUAAAGGCAUCUUUGUAAAUAUGACUAUGUACUCAAGUGACCUCUCUGGUUAAGUAGAGUAAAUAACAUGAGUCCCAAACAGCUGAACCCCCAAAACGUAUUUGGACAUUUGGACUUUCAUUUGGAAGUGGAUCGCUACAAAGUGUUUUCUUUCCAUACAUUUUUCAAGUAUCUGUACUUUAUUAGAUUAUUUAGAUUUUUGGCCUUCUCAUUACUUUUACGUUUCAGAUUCCAAAUGUUUUACUUCACUAAUAAUGCGCACGUUUUUAUUAAAGUCAGCAUGAAAUGAAAAUUCAUCUAUUUUGUAAACAUAUGUUGUACUGUAGAUCUUAUUGUUAGCGUUUAUCCAUGUUUAAUUGUAUUUUUUGACCUUGUAAUGUUUAAUUAAAAUGGCAUAUCUCAAGCUUCCUGUGAAAACACAUUGGAAGCCUAAGUAGAUGGUAGAACCCAUUGGCACA